UGACCGCUGGCGGCGUGCCUAAUACAUGCACGUCGAGCGAACAGAUGAGGAGCUUGCUUCUCUGACGUUAGCGGCGGACGGGUGAGUAACACGUGGAUAACCUACCUAUAAGACUGGGAUAACUUCGGGAAACCGGAGCUAAUACCGGAUAAUAUAUUGAACCGCAUGGUUCAAUAGUGAAAGACGGUUUUGCUGUCACUUAUAGAUGGAUCCGCGCCGCAUUAGCUAGUUGGUAAGGUAACGGCUUACCAAGGCAACGAUGCGUAGCCGACCUGAGAGGGUGAUCGGCCACACUGGAACUGAGACACGGUCCAGACUCCUACGGGAGGCAGCAGUAGGGAAUCUUCCGCAAUGGGCGAAAGCUUGACGGAGCAACGCCGCGUGAGUGAUGAAGGUCUUCGGAUCGUAAAACUCUGUUAUUAGGGAAGAACAAAUGUGUAAGUAACUAUGCACGUCUUGACGGUACCUAAUCAGAAAGCCACGGCUAACUACGUG
rnacentral:rRNA from 1 species